rnacentral:lncRNA from 1 species
GAGGGGUUAAAAUCCUCCGCCGCGCAAGCCGAUCUGUCAUGUGGUAAUUCGAUAAUUAGAGUCAAAAAGGUUUUUUUUUUUUUUAAGGCGACCUUUCUCCAGGACAAUUUCUCUUUCUCUACACGCAGCAAACAGUGCGUCUCUAUUUUUUUUUUCCUCCUCUCUCCACCUCUCGCCCACCCCCUCCUGUGUUUAGUCAGAUGGCCUCGGAGCUUGGCUUAGUAUUUUUAAUUAGCUGGCGUUUGGAAGCUAAAAGCAGUAAUGAAUUGUUGAUGGAUUGGAAGUGGAGAGUCGCUUUGCUGGAAAUGUCGGGGCUGGGAGAGGGGGAUGGGCGCGUUAGCAACACCAACCAUCUAAAAGGAGCGGUUUUGUUACAGUGCAAGCCUUUCACAUCACGUGAGGAUCAAGGGCUCAAUUGGUUGUCGUGAGAACAAAAAUGGUGACAAGCGUAUCAAGAAAAUACUGAUCUGGUCUUUUAAAAAAAAAAAAGCUGAAGGUUUCUCCCUUCCCCCUGCAACCCCCUCUCCCCCCGCACGCCCUACAGUGGGCGAAGCUACAAGUUAUGAAUGUGAAACAUUUCUCAGCCAUCUCGGAAGUUCGGAAGGAGGGAAAUGUAAUGGCCACAAGAGCAAAGCAGAUGUUUUAAAGAAACAGCUUAUAAACCUUUCCUCAACUGAUCUCCAAUUUGUCGGCUUUCCCAAGGGGCCAAAGCGGAGGACGCCUGGGGGGAGGGCAGAGUACCUCGGAGCUGCUGGGAUUUUAGGAAACACCCCCCCACCAUGUAUUAAACAAAGAAAAACAUUUUGCUAGCUCCCAAACAGGGACUUGUAAUAAACACACCAUUGUUACUAUUUGUGGGUUUGUUUGGGUUGGGUGGGGCUCCCCCCCACACACACACCUUCUCUUAAUGUUUUUUUUUCUUCUUGCCCCCCCCCCUUUUUUAAGAAGGUGGAAAAUGGUAGUUACAGUCAUUACAUGUAAUGGAUGAAUAUUCCCUAGUUUACUAUUAAAUUACUGAGCAGGGGGAUG